AUUGAACGCUGGCGGAAUGCUUUACACAUGCAAGUCGAGCGGCAGCGCGGGGCAACCUGGCGGCGAGCGGCGAACGGGUGAGUAAUGCAUCGGAAUGUACCCAGUCGUGGGGGAUAACACAGCGAAAGUUGUGCUAAUACCGCAUACGUCCUGAGGGAGAAAGCGGGGGAUCGCAAGACCUCGCGCGAUUGGAGCAGCCGAUGUCAGAUUAGCUAGUUGGUGAGGUAAAGGCUCACCAAGGCGACGAUCUGUAGCGGGUCUGAGAGGACGACCCGCCACACUGGAACUGAGACACGGUCCAGACACCUACGGGUGGCAGCAGUGGGGAAUUUUGGACAAUGGGCGGAAGCCUGAUCCAGCCAUUCCGCGUGAGUGAAGAAGGCCUUCGGGUUGUAAAGCUCUUUCGGCAGGAACGAAACGGUCGUCUCUAACAUAGAUGGCUAAUGACGGUACCCGAAGAAGAAGCACCGGCUAACUACGUGCCAGCAGCCGCCGUAA
rnacentral:rRNA from 1 species